AUGUGUAUUUGAGUGUUUCUUUUAUGUUUGCUAUUUUCUUCUAUUUAUUUUUAAGCCUUUUUUAGUUCCUAUAAACGUUUGUGUGUGUGUUCGAUACGAAUGGCUUUGUCCUCUAUUGGGUUCUCGGAGGCUCCGCCUAAGAGAACCAUCAGAACCUUUUGAGUAGACGAACCUUUGCCCCAUAUUAGGGUCAUCACAAAUUGGCGUCCGCGACAGGACAAAGCCGUUCGUUUUGAUUUUUUUUUCUAAAGGCUAGGAACUAUGGCUGCUAGCACACUAGAUCUGUUAACCCUAGCCGAACGCAUGGGGCUAGAAGGUGCGGAGUUGAGGGCAUGGUUGGACGACCAGGAAGCGCGUGCGUGAGAAGAGUGCGCAGCCGAACGCAAGGCUAGGAGGGAGGAACUUGCACUGGAGGAGAGAAAUUUACAAUUACGGCUUAAAGUCACGGAAGCUGAGGGCGCAUAUCUGGGCAAGAAACAGCCAGAAAUUAGUUUGUCUGACUUAGCCACCAUCGCCCAGCGAUUGGGUUUGCAUGGGGCAGACUUUCACAGAUGGGUACAAGACAUAUGGUUGUUAAUACGCGCGAAAUCUCAGAGAGAGAGCGAAAGCCGAGUGGCAGAACAGGCGGCUGAGAGGGCACGCCUGGAGGAGGAGCUUCGCGGGGUACGCCUCAGCAUCAAAUGCCUAGAUUCAUCACUCACGGAUGCUUGCCCCGAAGGGAUAAGAUCCGCGGUUGAGGAUGCAGCACAGCAGUGCAGCGGCGACCGAAGGGUUCCCUCCGACAUGGCCUCAGGCCUCGGCGACCAAAAAGUGUCUCAAGGAGAGACACCUUGUAAUGAUGCCAUUGUAGGCAAAGAUACUGAGGUAUGGUGACAAGACAAGGAGCAUAGUGCUUCCGUACCUCAACUAGUGCAGCGUGAGCACAGCGCAGGCGAUGACUGGCUCGUACAUGGUUCUGGGUCACCGUGCAUGGGCCUGGUUGAGAAAGUUAGAGCAGAGCAUCUCCUACAGGCUAAAGAUAGCACGUUGGAGGGUUCGCACCAUGAUCAAGAUGAACCUGAAAAUAUCAGGGCUCCUGUGGAACCGUGUUUGGUUUCAACAAAAACUAUUGAGGAGUCUUUACUGCCUCCCUCGAAUCAGACAAAAUCUGUUUGUGACACUAUGGGCACUUGGAAGGGCUCAGACCUGUGUACCAAAUCAACACAUGGCUUUGAGGAUUCAGAACACCCUUUGUGUUCUCAUGCACUCAUGUGUGGUUCGACCAUUGACACUGAUGUUGCAACCACACAUUACAACGUUCACUACCUGAGAACGCAGGCAGUGACUUGGUCGACACCAUGUAAAGACAUUAAUGCCUGAAGUGAUGUGGUCACGAACUGGCCAGUGCACUCUGAGUGAGAAGAUGAAGGUCUAGUCCGCUUGAUAUGGGAAAGGGUCACCUAAAGGAGCCGAUGCUUCGCUUAUGGCUCUUCACGGACUUUUGACCUCGGACUUGGUGACUUCAACUUAAUUGUUUAUAGAGCGGGUCGUGAUAGCCUGUGAUGCUACAGUUUCUUUCUUUUCAGUUGUUGUGGUUUCUUUGAAUUGUGUUUUCCUUUAAUGGUUUUAUCUGCGUGCUCAGUGAACUGUGCGUUGGAAACAUAUAGUUCGUUCUUGUGAACGGACCAUGACGGUAGUGUUCCAAGCAUGUGUGAACUAUGUCGCGCACUGAGCGGCAGUCUUUCUUCAGAAAAACUUGUUAAAAAUGGCUGUGGCUUAGCUAAGGUUAAACCCAGGAUGCGAAGCAUACUAGCCUUUAUUUUAGUUGUUGAACCACUGUUUAGCCUGGUGAACUGCUGUUGCUUGGCUAUAUCUGGUUCGGCUAGACGAAGAAACAACUCAUGCGUUACUCUGCUUCGCCUUCAAGAGUGGAACGCGACAGCGUUCCCGUCGACCCGCCAAGGGGUGGAAGACAAUGGGCUACGGCGCAGCGACUACGCGCCCCGCAUUGGACGCGGUGAGCGUCGAGCAACGCAGCGUUCGGCGCGGCAACGAAAUGUGCGCCUAAGCAAGCGACGCACGCCUGAGCCUUAGAAACAGCUCGUUUCUAAGUCAACACCGCAUUCACUAGAGGCGCUUUUGUACCGCUUUGAAGCAUCGUACUCGUGGCUCAGUGGUAGCGUCUCCGUCUCCCACUCCGGAGACCCUGGUUCGAUUCCCACCCAGCCCACCUUGCAAGAGUUGAGCCAAGGCCACCUAGAAACAAGCGCAGCUGCUUGUAUACCGCCGCGACGCUGCGAGCGACGGCGCGAGUUGGAGCCCCGUUUCUCCUCUGUCGUGACGUCAGGGUGUCACGUGAUAUUGAAGGCGACACCGCCGCGCCUGAGGAGCUGGGUUGAGCUCUAGUAAUAUGCUUCGCAUAAAAAAGGGGGCUUGUUUGAUGUGUGGUGCGCGACAUGGUGCGGUGAUCGGGACAGUCAGGAGCAGACGACACUGAGUGCACGCGCGCCGAGGCGGAUAACAUGCUGGAAGAAGGAAAACAAUGACGCCGAAGAGCAUCCGGCACGAGAACGCGUGGCGCAUGAAAAACAACAAAAAGAAGAAAAGCAACCAAUUAUGAAAGACCACGGAGAGUUAGGCAGCCAAUCGGAAAAUGCCAAAUCGGCCAGAUCAGAAGAAAAAGCGUGGUGCACUCAUAGAGAAAGAAAAAGGCUAAGAGCGGACACUCCGAGAAAUCUGGCCUCAGGAACUACGUCAUGGCUACGUAACGAACUAGUGCUCUCACCAAACGCCAGAGGACGCAGCGCAAAAAAAAGAAAAUGUUGUAUUGAAUUCUCCUCAAUCGCUUUACAAUAUAAUAAUUAUACACCCAAAUUUGGCGUGUUUCUGAUACAUAAAAACAGAAUUUAUCGAAGGCACCUUCCGUGCUUUUUGUUCUUCAUUCGUACUGCCAUCAACACCAAUCACCAUUCGUCCAUCGAGAAGAAAUCAACGACACCAGCGGCGUGCCAGCGGGAACGUCUCGUGAACGUCGGCUGCGGCGGUGUUCUUGUGUGUGAGAAAGACCGUGCUGAUGCCAUGCCGUCCGGCGGUCCAAACUACGGCAGCUACUGCUGUGUCGUGGUGCUUUGGCAACGGCAGAACCCAGAAGAAGCCUAUCUUGACUUGGAAUAAAAACAUUGCGAAAACUCUGUCUCUUUGAUACAUAUGAGCGCUUGUACCAAAACACAGAAGACAAGCGCGAUGGAUAAAGCCGUAGUGAAUUAUGA